UAGCUCAGACAGUAAAGCGUCUGCCUACAAUGCAGGAGACCCAGGUUCAAUCCCUGG
rnacentral:tRNA from 1 species